AUGAGCGCGCGCUGGAAUAGGAACGGCCGGCUCACUCCGCAGCUUUUCGGGCCUCGCUGGCUCCUGCCUCCGGCCGGGUGGAUGCUGCUCGUUGCCGGGGAACUUGGUUUCUGUUCUCCCUGCAGCUGCCUUAAAGCGCGCAGCGUCCUCGGCGCGCUGAUUGGCUGCGGGCGGCGCCUAUCCGGGGCUGGCCAGCCCGCGCGCCGCCGGGCCGGGCCGGGAGGCCGCGCCGCCCAGCGCGGGGAGGGCGAGGCUGUACAGCGAGGGAUAGGGAGUGGUGGGAGGAGAGGGACCGCGAGUGGUGGGAAGCAAAGUGGGGAGGAGGGAGGGAGCGGUGCUUCGCGGGGACGAGGGGCGGUGGGAGUGGGUGAGCGCGUCAGGACCUUGCAACGUGAGCCCCCUCUGCUGUGUCACCUAAGGGCAGCCGCGCACAUCUUUGCACAAAUCAAUGGCUCCAGACCUUCUAAUUCCCCUCCUCUCCCUCCGUACCUCUGUCCCUGUCCUUUGCAAACUUGCCAUUUCCCGGUGAGCUCAUAUUUAAUUACCUUAAUGUUGGAAUGAAUAAGUAAUGGAUUGAUGAAUAGCUUAUGGAACGCGAUAAAUAAUACAAGAGUAGACCAGUCCUCUGGGCUGCAGCCGCUGCAAGAAUGGCUUCUCUCCCGGCUGGCUUCAGCUCCAGGAGCCAAACCUAAUUUCCUCCCCUCUCCUCUCCUGCCCCCACCGCCCUCCAAAGCGCACAAAUACUCCCAGCUGUAUAGCGCUUCCCUCAUUCUCAAAAGGCCACGACUAUUUGGGACCAAGAGAAGAGCUGUGUAGAGCAUAGUUGCUGAGCAAAUAGAGAUUCCAAGAGUUCAUUUGCGAUUCAGAAUUUUAAUGAUCUGUGGUUUAAGUCUGCAGGCAGGCUUCUGGACUCGUUUUCCCUAUCUGUGCGGUUGCCACCUCUGCUAAUGAGGAAUGCUGAGAAGCUUUACUUGCUAUUAGCAAAAAUGCUUUGGGAACAUCGCACGAAAGGCGCUGGAUGGGGUGUAAAUUAAAUAAAACUGUGUCCGGCUCCAAUAGCCGUCCGGUUGUAACAUAAUAUUGCCCUGUUCUGAGAGGAACACUGCCCUCAUAGCGAGGACAACCGCGGCUCCAACAAGAUUAAAUAAAGAGGGGUGUGUGUGUGUGCAUGUGUGUGCCUCUGUGUGUGUGUGUGUGUAGAUUGCAAUGCUGGCCUAUUUUACUGCCAGGGAUUGAGAGAUGUCUUGCAAUUUCAGUCCUAUCAUCUGUUAUUUUGUGUAUGUGUGGAGAAUGCUUAGUAAAACUACACAAACAAAUGGAGCUGUAAUUAUCUUAAGCCUCAUUUGCACACCUUGUUCCAAAGCAAUUANNNNNNNNNNNNNNNNNNNNNNNNNNNNNNNNNNNNNNNNNNNNNNNNNNNNNNNNNNNNNNNNNNNNNNNNNNNNNNNNNNNNNNNNNNNNNNNNNNNUGCACACCUUGUUCCAAAGCAAUUAUUAAAAAGAUUUUGAAAACAAUUAGCGUCUCUAAAUAGAGAUAAUCUAUUGUCAGUAGCCAAGACUGGCAGGAGAUAAGAACAAUGCGUGGAGAUAAAGGGAGCCAAAAGGUGGAAGGAGAGUGACUUUACGACUAUACUUAUCUCUGAUUAGAUAAGUUCAAAACAGAAUUUUAAGUACACUUCAAAAAUGCUUUUGAUUUAAAUGUGUCCUCUUAGUCACUGCGGAACAAACCCUAGGUUCUUUAAAUUUGCUUGUCUUUAAAUAUGUUUUGGUUUCAUCAGCAAGAGCAUAGAGCAUCACAGAACCAUUUACAUAUUGAGACAUAAGUGGGAAUGGAAGAAGCACUGUGUGGGUUUCCCCUUGUAUUAUUUAGAUGGUUUUAAAACAACACACCCAUUCGAAUGCACCUGGCAAUGUACAUCUUAAAGUCGUGAAGGGUUUCCACACACACCCCCACCCCCAUCUGUCUCUUGGGAGACUGAGUAGACACGAAGCUGCUUCUCCGCUGAACUCCCAAACAAAGCUUUUUCCAUCUUUGAAAACUUUCCCUUCAGUAUCCCAGGCAAUUAGAACUUGGAAGCAAAUGCUGAUAUUUCAUUAUGUUUGGGAUUAUCUUUAAAUGCAUUUAAUGGGUGCACAUUAUUUCAAGAGAAUCCCUACCACAUGGUGUGCGGAAUGACUUACUUUCUAAACUGGAAACCUGGCAAAGCAGAGCCCAAGCCCAUGUGUCUGGUAAUUUUCCCUCAUGGUCUUAUUUUAGUGCUCAUGAUGUUUCAGAUGAAGUCUUGAAGAGCUGCAGUGUCCUGCCAGAAGGAAUGUCUCUGCUUGGAACAGUCAUUAUUGACAUGGCAGCUGUGUGCGGACUGGAACGGAGGUUUAAACUCGGCUCUAAAAAAUCAGUUAAUACCCUAAAGUCUGGAGCAAGUGCGCAGAAUUACAAUGUGUGUGUGUGUCUGUGUUGGGGAGGAGAACGGGGCGAGUCUGUAAAUAUAACCACGUCUCUUAAAAGACAAAGGGUAAGUUGAAUAUGGGAUGUACUUUGUAAUUAACAAUUUUGUAUAAGGAAAUGAGGCACAGCUUGGACAAAUAAGGGCAGGUAUAGAUUUACAGGGAGCAGAGAGAUUACAAUGAGACACCCACCACCUUCCCCGCCCCCAACCCCCCACCCCCGGCUUCCUCCAGACCUCCCUGCCCACUUCUUUUCAUCUCUCUUCAAAAGGAAUCAAGACGCACUAGACGGUGGAGACAACUGGGAAGACGACUGUGCGGAUGCGGCGACUGCGGGCACCGGGGUUGAUAAGAAGUGGUGCUCGUCCUUGGAGGCCGUCCCCUGGCCGCCAGCCUUUCUCUGCUAGUGUUCAGUCCAGUAGAUCGCACGAUUAGAAAAGAAAUGUGCUAUUCGCUUUGUACCAACGAGCCUACCUGCUAUUUCGAUCCCUCGGUUAGGGAAACCAAUUUUUAUAAAUGUUAAUUAUUGGCUCGGAUAUAUAAGGUUUCCCAAAAUGGAACCUUUCACUGCAAACCACUAAAAGAGGUAAAAUGACAUGAAUUUACAAACCACAUAAACCAAAUGAUCCAUUUUAAAUCGCACACAGAAAGGUUUGAGUUGUUCUAGUAACUUAAAACCUUUUGCUGUCAAUGCAAAUCACAAGAAAACAGAGAUUCGUCGGAGAUUUAAAGGCGACGAGCAGCACGAGCUGCUGCCCUCGCCGCUUCGUGGGUCCCGAGGGUAACAGCUAGAAAGGGACUCCCAACGCCAGGUUUCUGCUCUUCUGUGCCUCCUCCGUGCAGG
ensembl:lncRNA